CCGGCUGGAUCAGAGAAGGGGGCGGAGCAAAGCCCGGGAGGCGGGGCCUCGAGCUGCUCCACAGCAAGGCAGGAUCGGGCGGGGGGCGGAGCUCGAAAAACAGAGCCUGUAGUGCUCAACGGUCAAUCGCUGAGGGGUGUCCAGGCGGAGCUCGGGAGGUAGUUCCAGGAGGUGCGCCAGGCGCUGAGAGCGAAUGGCGGUGCAGGAUUCGGGAAGCUGUUUCUUGAGGGGCUCAGAGUACUGUUAGAACCUGUGCAGCGGCAUCGAGAAGCUUGGUACGCUGUCAGAGAGGCGGUUCCUCGAGGGACCACGUGCUGUCAGAACCGGGGUGGCCUCUAGGGUCUCUGCGUGCGUUCAGCGCAGGGGACAGGGCCUCGAGGGGCUUCAUAAGCGGUCAGAGCAGACCUGGAGAGUGCAGCCUGGAAGGAUUCGGUGUGAGGGCAGGCUGGGCAGCAACGCGGCCUCCUAGGACUCCACGUGCCGUCAGACUGCGGGGCGGGGCCUUGAGGAGCUGGGCAGUUCUUCAGAGCACUCGGGGUGCUGAGAAUGGAAAAGGGUCCUUCAAGGUUUCUUCUCUAGGUUUCUCGGGGCAAUGAAAGUUGCCCGCCGAACUGGGCAGGCGCCUAGACCUAGACUUGAGAGGCAAAG
rnacentral:lncRNA from 1 species